AUGAUAAAUGACAUUUUUGAUCAAGUAAGUGGAAAUAUAGGUAAGUCACUUUAUGCAGACGAUGGAGCACUCUGGGUUAGGGGUCGAAAUCUAGAAUAUCUUAGAAAGAAAAUGCAAAAUGCAAUAGAGAAAGUUGAACAAUGGACUUCUAAAUGGGGAUUUAAACUCUCAAUUCCAAAAACUCAAGUUAUAUGCUUCUCUAAGCGCCACAAAGUAGUACCACUGAAAUUGUAUGGACAGGAUUUGGAUCAGGUUAAGGUGGUGAGGUUUCUAGGAGUUCUCUUUGAUGAGAGGAUGACUUGGUGUCAUCAUAUUGAUAAGGUCAGAAAUAAAUGUAAGAAGAUCAACAACGUGUUGAGAUGUCUAUCAGGGCGAGACUGGGGAGCGAGUAGAGCUUCGCUAAUAAACAUCUAUCAGGCUCUCAUGAGAACUGCCUCUGACUAUGGUUCCUUAGCGUAUAUGUCAGCAUCGGAAUCUAACCUUAAAAAGCCUGAUGUGGAGCAGGCACAGGCACUUCGGAUUUGUACCAGGGCAUUUAAAACAUCACCAGUAACUGCUUUACAGGUGGAAGCAGGAGAGAUGCCGCUACGUAUUAGGAGGGUCAAGAUCAUGUUGGCAUAUUGGACUAAUUUACAAGGACAUCGUAUGGAGCACCCCACAAAAACUGUCUUGCAAGAAUGCACAGAGCAUAAUAAAAGCAGUUUUUACAGUUUCGGAUGGGUGGGGGAUGCUAAGGCUCAAAAUGCAGGUCUCAAUCAGUCGCAAAUAGGGCCCACUGUGGCAAUAUCAACAAUACCACCCUGGAAAUUUAUAAAACCAUCUGUAAAUGUAAGUUUACAACAAAUACUAAAAGAAAACUCAAAAAUAAUGCCGCAAUGGAUAAUAGUUCAAAACUAUGUAGAGCAGUAUCAAGAGGAAUUAUUCAUUUUUACGGAUGGAUCAAAGCAGCCGGAAACAGGCCGUACUGGUGCAGCAUUUUUUAUUCCUUGGUAUGAAGUAGUAGUCAAAAAGAGGACUACAGAUUAUCUGUCAGUUUACAGUGUGGAGUUGAUAACAAUUUUACUGGCAUUAGAGUGGGUGGAAAAAAAUCAUCAGAGUCAAGGUGUUAUUAUAGCCUCAGGCAGUUUAUCAGCAUUAUUAAGCAUUCAGUCUGGAGGGCGUCAUGUAGACAAGACCUCAUUUAUCAAAUACUUCACUUGCUUCUCACACUUCAUAAUGAGGGAGUGGUUGUCUCCUUCCUUUGGGUUCCUGCCCAUGUGGGGGUAG
ensembl:lncRNA